AGAAGCAUGUCUGACAAUAGAGUUACUUUGAUAGAGUAAAUAAUAAAGGUUAUAGCCCUUUUGCUUCUA
rnacentral:tRNA from 1 species